CGCGGGAUGGAGUAGCUCGUCGGGCUCAUAACCCGAAGGUCGUAGGUUCAAAUCCUGCUCCCGCAA
rnacentral:tRNA from 2 species